rnacentral:rRNA from 1 species
UACGUAGGAGACGAGCGUUGUCCGGAGUUACUGGGCGUAAAGGGUGCGCAGGUGGCGGCGCGCGUGGGGGGUGAAAUCGCCCGGCUUAACUGGGCGGGGGCCUUCCAGACGGCGUGGCUUGAGCAGCGGAGGGGGACGUGGAAUUCCGGGUGGAGCGGUGAAAUGCGCAGAUAUCGGGAAGAACACCCGUGGCGAAGGCGGCUCUCUGGGACGGUACUGACGCUGAGACGCGAAAGCGUGGGGAGCGAACAGG